ACCCAGCUGACGAGUUUCGAAUAAAACGAAACGCAAGUCUUGGAU
rfam:Schistosoma mattheei strain Denwood, Zambia genome assembly, scaffold: SMTD_scaffold0001844